GAUGAACGCUAGCUACAGGCUUAACACAUGCAAGUCGCGGGGCAGCAUGGGGGUUGCUUGCACUCCCCGAUGGCGACCGGCGCACGGGUGAGUAACGCGUAUCCAACCUGCCCUUCACCACGGGAUAACCCGGCGAAAGUCGGACUAAUACCGUAUGUUGUCCAUUGACGGCAUCCGAUUUGGACGAAAGGUUUGGCGGUGAAGGAUGGGGAUGCGUCCGAUUAGCUGGACGGCGGGGUGACGGCCCACCGUGGCGACGAUCGGUAGGGGUUCUGAGAGGAAGGUCCCCCACACUGGAACUGAGACACGGUCCAGACUCCUACGGGAGGCAGCAGUGAGGAAUAUUGGUCAAUGGGCGUAAGCCUGACCCAGCCAAGUAGCGUGCAGGAUGACGGCCCUAUGGGUUGUAAACUGCUUUUAUGCGGGGAUAAAGUGGCCCACGUGUGGGUUUUUGCAGGUACCGCAUGAAUAAGGACCGGCUAAUUCCGUG
rnacentral:rRNA from 1 species